GUGCUUGCUUUGGCAGCACAUAUACUAAAAUUGGAAUAAUACAGAGAAAAUUAGCAUGGCCCCUGCACAAAGAUGACACACAAAUCCGUUAAGUGUUCAAUACUUUU
ensembl:snRNA U6 U6 spliceosomal RNA